UAAACGCCUUUUGUGCCUGUCUACAUUC
rnacentral:piRNA from 1 species